GACGAACGCUGGCGGCGUGCCUAACACAUGCAAGUCGAGCGAAGUGAGUACUACGGUACGAACUUAGCGGCGGACGGGUGAGUAACGCGUGGACAGUCUACCCUGUAGACUGGGAUAACACCUCGAAAGGGGUGCUGAUACCGGAUAAUGUCGAGAAGCGGCAUCGCUUUUCGAAGAAAGGAGAGAAUCCGCUAUAGGAGGAGUCCGCGUCCCAUUAGCUAGUUGGUGAGGGUAACGGCCCACCAAGGCGACGAUGGGUAGCCGGCCUGAGAGGGUGAACGGCCACACUGGAACUGAGACACGGUCCAGACUCCUACGGGAGGCAGCAGUGGGGAAUAUUGUGCAAUGGGGGAAACCCUGACACAGCAACGCCGCGUGAGCGAAGAAGGCCUUCGGGUUGUAAAGCUCAAUAGUAUGGGAAGAUAAUGACGGUACCAUACGAAAGCCCCGGCUAACUACGUGCCAGCCGCCGCCGUAACAC
rnacentral:rRNA from 1 species